AGCGAACGCUGGCGGCAGGCCUAACACAUGCAAGUCGAACGGACCCUUCGGGGUCAGUGGCGGACGGGUGAGUAACACGUGGGAACGUGCCUUUAGGUUCGGAAUAGCUCCUGGAAACGGGUGGUAAUGCCGAAUGUGCCCUUCGGGGGAAAGAUUUAUCGCCUUUAGAGCGGCCCGCGUCUGAUUAGCUAGUUGGUGAGGUAAUGGCUCACCAAGGCGACGAUCAGUAGCUGGUCAGAGAGGAUGACCAGCCACACUGGGACUGAGACACGGCCCAGACUCCUACGGGAGGCAGCAGUGGGGAAUCUUGCGCAAUGGGCGAAAGCCUGACGCAGCCAUGCCGCGUGAAUGAUGAAGGUCUUAGGAUUGUAAAAUUCCUUCACCGGGGACGAUAAUGACGGUACCCGGAGAAGAAGCCCCGGCUAACUUCGUGCCAGCCGCCGCGGUAA
rnacentral:rRNA from 1 species